rnacentral:rRNA from 1 species
GGUCCCAGUUCGGAUAAGAGGCUGAAACUCGCCUCUUUGAAGUCGGAAUCGCUAGUAAUCGCAGAUCAGCAUGUUGCGGUGAAUACGUUUCCUGGUCUUGUACACACCGCCCGUCAAACCAUGAGAGUCGCCAACACCCGAAGUCCGCUUUGCGGCCUAAGGUGGGGGAGAUGAUUGGGGUUAAGUCGUAACAAGGUAAC